UACGUAGGGUGCGAGCGUUGUCCGGAAUUACUGGGCGUAAAGAGCUCGUAGGUGGUUUGUCGCGUUGUUCGUGAAAACCGGGGGCUUAACCCUCGGCGUGCGGGCGAUACGGGCAGACUUGAGUACUGCAGGGGAGGACUGGAAUUCCUGGUGUAGCGGUGGAAUGCGCAGAUAUCAGGAGGAACACCGGUGGCGAAGGCGGGUCUCUGGGCAGUAACUGACGCUGAGGAGCGAAAGCGUGGGGAGCAAACAGG
rnacentral:rRNA from 1 species